rnacentral:ncRNA from 2 species
CCCGCUGAAUUUAAGCGUAUCAAUAAGCGGAGGAAAAGAAACUAACAAGGAUUCCCUUAGUAACGGCGAGCGAACCGGGAUAAGCCCACCAUGAGAAUCGGUCGCCCUCGGCGUUGGAAUUGUAGUUUGGAGAAGCGUCCUCAGCGGCGAAUUGGGCCCAAGUCCCUUGGAAAGGGGCGCCAAAGAGGGUGAGAGCCUCGUUGUGCUCGUUCCUAGUCGCACCACGAGGCACUGUCGACGAGUCGGGUUGUUUGGGAAUUCAGCCCCAAUCGGGCGGUAAAUUCCGUCCAAGGCUAAAUAUUGGUGAUAGACAGAUAGCGAACAAGUACCACAGA